UACGUAGGUGGCAAGCGUUGUCCGGAUUUAUUGGGUUUAAAGGGUGCGUAGGCGGUCUUAUAAGUCAGUGCUGAAAUAUCCCGGCUUAACCGGGAGGGUGGCAUUGAUACUGUAGGACUUGAGUAAAGUUGAGGUCGGCGGAAUUGACGGUGUAGCGGUGAAAUGCUUAGAUAUCGUCAAGAACACCUAUAGCGAAGGCAGCUAACUAAACUUUAACUGACGCUGAGGCACGAAAGUGUGGGGAUCAAACAGG
rnacentral:rRNA from 1 species